rnacentral:snoRNA from 1 species
AUCCUUUUAGUAGUUCCUAAGCAUAGAUGAUUGGGUCCGUUCAUGUGCUUAUGUGAGAUGUGCCUUUCUCGAACCUUGUUAUGACAUCAGCACAUUAUUCAUCUGAUA